GCUGCGGUAGCCGAGUGGUUAGCAUUGCGUUCUGCCAUUCGGAAGGCUCGGGUUCAAAUCCUGGUGCCGUAGUA
rnacentral:tRNA from 1 species